rnacentral:rRNA from 1 species
UACGAAGGGGGCGAGCGUUGUUCGGAUUUACUGGGCGUAAAGGGCGCGUAGGCGGCCUUGUCAGUCAGGCGUGAAAGCCCCGGGCUCAACCUGGGAACGGCGCUUGGGACGGCGAGGCUGGAGUUCGGGAGAGGAGAGUGGAAUUCCCAGUGUAGAGGUGAAAUUCGUAGAUAUUGGGAAGAACACCAGUGGCGAAGGCGGCUCACUGGCCCGGUACUGACGCUGAGGCGCGAAAGCGUGGGGAGCAAACAGG